UUCUCUAUAGCACAGGAACCAUUCUGUGAACAUGUGAAGAUUCUGAGGAUGAUUCUGAUUUUUGUGAGAGUGAGGAUAAUGACGAAGACUUCUCUAUGAGAAAAAGUAAAGUUAAAGAAAUUAAAAAGAAAGAAGUGAAGGUAAAAUCCCCAGUAGAAAAGAAAGAGAAGAAAUCUAAAUCCAAAUGUAAUGCUUUGGCGGCAUCUGGAGGUAGCAGAAGUAGCAGCAGCCCACUGGUGGUAGUGUCUGUGAAGUCUCCCAAUCAGAGUCUCCGCCUUGGCUUGUCCAGAUUAGCACGAGUUAAACCUUUGCAUCCAAAUACCACUAGCACCUGAGUGUGGUACCGGAGGAAUGUUUGGUUGAGAGAAUCACAGCUUUACAAGGGUGUUUAUAUUUGAUUUGUGUUUAUAUUUGAGGCAGGUAUUGUAAUAUAAAGGAAUCCAUUACUAUGUCCUAUAAAUGACCUCUAGCCAUUUUAUGAUUAUGUUCUCUGUAAAACUCUUCAAGACUUCAAUGAGAAGUUUGUUUAUAAGAAUUAUCUUCUCAUACCUUUCCUUGUGAAGAGCGUAUUCUGUUUUUCUGUCAGUUCGACAUGAAGUCCACAUCACAUGCUGUUCUUUUCUAGUUACAUGAUGUGCCUUUCUAGCUUUGUCUAGUUUAUAGCACCUUAACUUUAACUGUUCAGUUUUAUCUGGCAGAGGGAAACAUUCUUAUUUCUUUCAGAAGACAUUUCUGAAAUCUUAUAAGCUACUUAAGCUACAUUGUCAGUUUUAUCGCAAAGAUGUUUUGUAUUUUAGCCAAAUCUUUUUAUAGUACAAACUCAGAAUUAUUUUACGCACUAAAAUGGUUGCAGUUUUAUGGCAUAUGUCUCCGAUUUAGAUGGUUAUUCUCUAGAAAAUAGAAUUUAAAGACAUUUUAUGAAAUCUUCAUUGUCAAAACCUUUAAUAAAAGUGGAAAUAUUUUGAAAUGCCCUUUUUCUUGAUACCACUCAUCCACGUGUUCCUGAUUGUCCACAUUUCAUGAU
rnacentral:sRNA from 1 species